GUUUGUUAGAAAAACCACUUUCCUUUGCUCCUAGCGCCUUCUCGUUCGCUCUAUAGCGUUUUGAGCGGAUAAAGAGCACAAGUGUGUAUGGGGACACGGAAUGAAUGGGAAUUAGUUUUGUUAUUGUACUUUUGAUGAAAACUGACUUUCUAGACAUAAAAUGUCACUUUUUUCACCUUAUCAUACUUUAUCAUCAACUUUUGCAUUUUAAGGUAACAAUCAUAUUUCGUAAUAUUUUGUGUCAGAAACAUUUCAUAGUACUAUAUUAUGUCUAACUAUGUGAAAAAAAUCAAAUUGGAGUAGGUCGGGCAACUGAUUAUAUAAGUUUGUUAGAAAAACCACUUUCCUUUGCUCCUAGCGCCUUCUCGUUCGCUGUAUAGCGUUUUGAGCGGAUAAAGAGCACAAGUGUGCAUGGAGACACAGGAUGAAUGGGAACAAGUUUUGUUAUUGCACUUUUGAUGAAAAGUGACUUUCUAGACAUAAAAUGUCACUUUUUUCACCUUAUCAUACUUUUUCAUCAACUUUUGCAUUUUAAUGUAAACAAUCAUAUUUCGUAAUAUUUUGGGUCAGAAACAUUUCAUAGUACUAUAUUAU
ensembl:lncRNA